GGUCAGGAUAAUCCAUCAGAUGGAUUUGAUUUUUUGAAAUACAAUAUGGAUAAUCUGAUUAGAGUUGACAGUUGAACUCUAAGGUGUCCUUGAGUAUUUUGGUCAAGGAGAUGAAUUAUAUGGAAACUAUAUCCGUAUGGGUUUUAAGGAUGUUGUUCUACACAUUCGACCUAUCCGGCCGUCAGCUACCAUUGCUAGAUGAUCACUUCGAUUGGUAUAAAAAUUUAUU
rnacentral:lncRNA from 1 species